GUGAUAUUCUAACAUUCUAAGCACAGUCUAGUUUGUUAUUUUUUAACAAAAUACAUGGGUGAUGUAAUAUUCUAAACAUGUAAUAGUGUAUUUUCUAGUUUUAUUAAGGUGAUGUGAUAUUCUAACAUUCUAAGCACUAUCCAGUAUGUUGUUUUUUAACAAAAUACAUGGGUGAUGUAAUAUUCUAAACUUCAAAUAGUGUAUAUUUUAAUUUUAUUAAGGUGAUGUGGUAAUCUAACAUUCUAAACACUAUAUAGAUUGUUUUUUUUUAAACUAAGUACAUGGGUGAUGUGAUAUUCUAAACAAAUAAUAGUAUAUUUCCAAUUUUUAUUAAAGCGAUGUGAUAUUCUAACAUUCUAAGCUCUAUAUAGUUUGUUGUUUUUAAACAAAAUACAUGGGCGAUGUUAUAUUUUUAACAUAUGAUAGUAUAUUUCUAAAUUUUAUUAAGGGGAUGUGAUAUUCUAACAUUCUAAGAACUAUCUAGUAUGUUUUUUUUAACAAAGUUGACGGGUGAUGUGAUAUUCUAAACAUAUAAUACCGGUAGCAUACCAUAUAUUUCUUAGUUUCUUUAAGGCAAUGUGAUAUUCUAAGGUUUUAAGCAUCAAAUACAAAUAAUUUUUAUAACAUUAAUGAACAAUAUACAUGGGGGAUGUGACAUUCAAAAUAUUUGUUUCUUAUAGUGUGUAAUAUAUUUCCUAAUUAUAAUAACGAAAUGUCAUAUUCUAAGUUUUUAAACUAAAAGUACAACUAAUUAGUAUGAUAUUUAUAAACAAAGUACACGGGGGAUGUGAUAUUGUAAACAUACAGUGAUAGUUAGUGAUAUAUUUCUUAAUUAAUUUGCUGGAUGUGAUAUUUUAAGGUUCAUAGCAGAAAAUAAAACUAAUUUUUAUGACAUAUAUAAACAAUAUACAUGGGGGAGGGGGGGAGGGGUGUGGUAUUUUAAGUAAUAUAAAACUUUUAGUUGACAAUAGAUUUCUUAUUUACAUCUAAGAUUCAAAGCAGCAAAUAAGACUAACUAUGAAAUUUUUUAAUAAUAUACAUUGGAAUUGUGAUAUUUUAUAUAUAUAACAUAUAUAAUACUGGUAGUACAUAGGGGGUAUGACAUUCUAAACAUAUUGAUAGUUUGUGGUAUAAUUCUUAGUUACACUAAGGGAGUGUAAUAUUCUAAGCAGCAAAUUUGACUAACUAUGACAUUUAUAAACAAUAUACAUAGGGGAUGUGUGUCUAAACAUAAUACUAUAAUAUGCGUUAUAUUUCUUAAUUUUAUUACGAUAGGAGAUUUAUUAGGAUAGUAUUCUAAGAUGCUACUCUAAGAGAUUUAUUAUAAUAAUAUUCUUUUUUUAGGUUUCUUCUUGUUGUCCCUGGCCACUAGCAUUAUGUUUUGUUGCAUGUUAUCAGACUUGUAUGGUCACUACUUUUGAAGCCUUUCUGACUGAACAAUACCCAGCUGUUUGUCAUCAAUGCCAUCUAUAUCAUGUGAUGUAACACUGACUGCUAUCACUUUUAAAAAAAAACAGUUAGUUAAAGUCUCCUUCAAUCUGUUUCACUCAUUUAGUACGAAUCAGCAGUGAACUUAUACAGAAAUUAUCAAACAAGUUGGAAGACUGAAAACUUUGAUACACUCAAAAAGUCACUUUUCAAGUUUAAUUAUUUCCUUUCGAAAUUGAAUAUACAAUCAAUACCAAAUUAGAGUCACAAAGUAAAUUUAACUUUCUUAAAGCAAUAUUUUAAAUAAAAAAAAUUUAGAAGAAAACUUGUGAUUGUUGUGUUGUUUCUUCUUCCUAUAAAUUAACCUUAUUAUUUAGCAACUAAAUUUUCUUUUUAAUUUAUAAUGUAUUUUAA
rnacentral:lncRNA from 1 species